rnacentral:rRNA from 1 species
GACGUAGGGGGCCAGCGUUGUUCGGAAUUACUGGGUGUAAAGGGUUCGUAGGCGGUGCGGCAAGUCGGGAGUGAAAUCUCUGGGCUUAACCCAGAGGCUGCUUCCGAAACUGCUGUGCUUGAGUGUGGGAGAGGCGCGUGGAAUUGCAGGUGUAGCGGUGAAAUGCGUAGAUAUCUGGAGGAACACCGGAGGCGAAAGCGGUCCACUGGGCAACUUCUGACGCUGAGGUGCGAAAGCUAGGGUAGCAAACGGG